UUGCCUCAGUAACGGCGAGUGAAGCGGCAAGAGCUCAAAUUUGAAAUCUGGCCCCUCCGGGGUCCGAGUUGUAAUUUGCAGAGGAUGCUUCGGAUACGGCCCCCGUCUAAGUGCCCUGGAACGGGCCGUCGGAGAGGGUGAGAAUCCCGUCUGGGACGGGGUGUCCGUGUCCGUGUGAAGCUCCUUCGACGAGUCGAGUUGUUUGGGAAUGCAGCUCUAAAUGGGUGGUAAAUUUCAUCUAAAGCUAAAUAUUGGCCGGAGACCGAUAGCGCACAAGUAGAGUGAUCGAAAGAUGAAAAGCACUUUGAAAAGAGAGUUAAACAGCACGUGAAAUUGUUGAAAGGGAAGCGCUUGCGACCAGACUCGCCGACGGGGUUCAGCCGGGAUUCGUCCCGGUGUACUUCCCCGCCGGCGGGCCAGCGUCGGUUUGGGCGGCCGGUCAAAGGCCUCCGGAAUGUAUCGCCCCCCGGGGCGUCUUAUAGCCGGAGGUGCAAUGCGGCCUGCCCGGACCGAGGAACGCGCUUCGGCACGGACGCUGGCAUAAUGGUCGUAAGCGACCCGUCUUGAAACACGGACCAAGGAGUCUAACAUCUACGCGAGUGUUCGGGUGUCAAACCC
rnacentral:rRNA from 1 species